UGAAGGCAGAGAUGGUUGGAGAGCUCUCGGGAGUUUGUGGAAAGCUAGCUCAGACGGCUUCCAAGCUGGAAGAAAGCUAGGUGGUAAGGUGAAAAGCUCAGAGAAGUGACUUUGGCAGAGUUUCCUUUGCUGGAAGUUUUAUCAGCAGAAGAAAAGAAAUCUCAUAUAUUCCAAAGUAAUGUCUACAAUAUGGCUGCCACGAAUUUAUAGAAUGUUCACGGGCAGUGGCGUGGCACAUGCUGGUCCUGAAAGUGUGGAUCUAGUGCCACAUAUGAAAGCAAAAGAAAUGUGAUGCGUAUCUAGAAGAUGAAGCACGACAUACAUGUGCUAAAAAUCAGAAAAGUGACUUGUGGUGUGCAUAAUAAAAUAGGCGGGGUGCUCCCAGCAGUAUGGACCUUCAUUUGGACAUUUCUACCCCUCCCUUUGGUUGAUUUAUUCCAUAAUUUAUGGGUCCAUGAUGGGCUUGGACCCAAGUCAUCA
rnacentral:lncRNA from 1 species